AAUUCAAAAACAAAUCCAUCAAUUUAGCGCGGUAACCCGGAUAUUCUAAAAAAUGAAAGUGAGCAAAAAAGAAAUCAAAUGUUCAAAACAAAUCAUAUAUAUGAAAGUUGGCCAACUCUCUCCAUAUGAUUGACACAUCAUCACUUUAGCAUUUGACAUGUGUCUAUUAAUUAUUUAAGCUUUUCAACUUCUAAUUUAUAGGUUAAUGAUAUAUUUCUUAUU
rnacentral:sRNA from 1 species